rnacentral:misc_RNA from 1 species
AAAGUGCGAUAAGCAAUGCGAAUUGCAGAAUUCCGCGAAUCAUCAGAUCCUUGAACGCAACUGGCGCUAGGGGGCUCUCCCCCUAGCAUGCCUGUUUCAGUGUCUGAAAACCUCACAUCUAACUUAAUGUGGUUGACAAGGGAGGAAGUUUCUACUUCCUACUCAAGUCUUCCAUUAAAGAUGUGCGUGUGGGUCUUUGGACCCCUCAUCGAAUUGGUCACUGGUCUCUUCAGUGAUUUCGAUAGGGGAAAAAUACCAAUUACUCGAAUACACGCAGAAAUUCAAACACUCAAACUCUGCAUCUGAAAUCAGGCAAGAACACCCGCUGAACUUAA